CCAGGCGGAGUGUUAAUGCGUUAGCUGCAGCACUAAGGGGCGGAAACCCCUAACACUUAGCACUCAUCGUUUACGGGCGUGGACUACCAGGUAUCUAAUCCUGUUCGCUCCCCACGCUUUCGCUCCUCAGCGUCAGUUACAGACCAGAGAGUCGCCUUCGCCACUGGUGUUCCUCCACAUCUCUACGCAUUUCACCGCUACACGUGGAAUUCCACUCUCCUCUUCUGCACUCAAGUUUCCCAGUUUCCAAUGACCCUCCCCGGUUGAGCCGGGGGCUUUCACAUACAGACUUAAGAAACCGCCUGCGAGCCCUUUACGCCCAAUAAUUCCGGACAACGCUUGCCACCUACGUAUUACCGCGGCUGCUGGCACGUAGUUAGCCGUGGCUUUCUGGUUAGGUACCGUCAAGGUGCAAGCAGUUACUCUUGCACUUGUUCUUCCCUAACAACAGAGCUUUACGAUCCGAAAACCUUCAUCACUCACGCGGCGUUGCUCCGUCAGACUUUCGUCCAAU
rnacentral:rRNA from 1 species